UAGGUAAUUAAGGCACACAAAGAGACAACAUUACCCUGUAUAUUGGAACAUGUACCAUAAUAAUCCCAGAGCAAGUGUAGCUCUGAUCUUUAUUUGGAUUUAAACAAUACCAGGAGUCUAAAUAUUUCUGCAAAGUGUGACAGUCUAAAUGUUCAGUCAAUGCGAGAUAGUGUCAUAUUAGAGAUGUAAUUCAUUUGUGCUUUCUAUGUCAGAAAUUCUAAAUAGGGAAUUUCACUUUCAGGUUCCAGCUAUACAAUGGGGGAUGAAACAGGAGGAGAAGGCAAGGCAACAGUACCUGGAAGCUACCUUGUGCAUCUGCAAGGAUGUGAAAUUGGAGGAAGUGGGGCUCAUUCUCUACAAGGAUUUUCCCUUCAUAGGUGCAUCUCCUGAUGGGAUGAGACAGUGUUCAUGCCAUGGAAGAACUGUGAUUGAGAUCAAGUGCCCAUACAAGUACAGGGACAUCUAUCCUGCUGCAGAUCUGUGUCUAUCAGAUGCCAACUACUGUUUAGAUAAGGAUUGUAAGCUAAAGACAGGGCACAGAUAUUACACCCAAGUCCAGACACAUAUGCUGGUUACCGGUGUCUCAACAUGUGAUUUUGUAGUGUGGACUAAUGCAGGCAUGGUUGUAGUAAAUGUUCCAAGGGACCAGUCACUGUUAAAUGUAAUGUUGUCUACAUGUGUCCAGUUUGUAAAGUCCAGUCUUAUCCCUGAGAUACUGACCCACAAGUUACAGUGUGGAGACUCUGGAGUAGAUGUGACUUUCCAGGAAGAUGAUGACCCAAACAAACGUUACUGUUCUUGUCAGAAACCAGCAUAUGGUAGGAUGGUAAAGUGUGAUAACAAUGAAUGUGAGUCAGAAUGGUUCCAUUACAAAUGUGUUGGCAUCAAGAGAAAACCAAGGGGCCAUUGGUUCUGUCCCAGUUGUCAAUGCUAAAUCCUACUGGACAGUUUGAAAUACUAAAAAUACUAGUAUAACAAUAGAAGGCAUUUUACAGUUUUAUGUCAUGUUUUAAAAAACUAAUGUAAAACAAGUAAGAAUUGUACUUUGUGGUAUACUUAUUAUAUUGUAGUGGGCUUCCCAAAAAUUUGUUUUGUGUCCCUUUAACAUUUUACCUUCAAUCUCAGUAUUUUGAUAUACAGAAAAGGCCAGCUCGUGCAGACAACAUUGCCAUUAAAAAUUACUUGAUUAGCUUUGGAAGUAAGUUUGUAAGAGCCGCACAGAUAACAACACUGUCACUGAGUAGAGGGGCAAAUGUUAAUGGACAGAUUUGGCUGAGAAUUUGGAAGUUCUUGAUUCUUUCAAUUGCACGUUCUACAUGAAUUCUUAGAGUUGAUAUCUGUCUGGCAUCUUGGACGAUACGCCCCGGGAGUUGUUUCCUUCCUGUGGUAAAUGGUGGCAUAACUAGUGUUGCUCCUUUCAGGGCAAGUUCCUCAGAAAUGGUGAAUCCCCGAUCUGCCAUAAUCAUAUCACCAUAUUCCACUUUGUUAUAGAAACGACUUUUUAGCGUAAUGUCUUUAUCAGAAAUUCU